rnacentral:rRNA from 1 species
UGAGGAAUAUUGGUCAAUGGGCGAGAGCCUGAACCAGCCAAGUAGCGUGAAGGAUGACUGCCCUAUGGGUUGUAAACUUCUUUUAUAAAGGAAUAAAGUCGGGUAUGGAUACCCGUUUGCAUGUACUUUAUGAAUAAGGAUCGGCUAACUCCGUGCCAGCAGCCGCGGUAAUACGGAGGAUCCGAGCGUUAUCCGGAUUUAUUGGGUUUAAAGGGAGCGUAGAUGGAUGUUUAAGUCAGUUGUGAAAGUUUGCGGCUCAACCGUAAAAUUGCAGUUGAUACUGGAUAUCUUGAGUGCAGUUGAGGCAGGCGGAAUUCGUGGUGUAGCGGUGAAAUGCUUAGAUAUCACGAAGAACUCCGAUUGCGAAGGCAGCCUGCUAAGCUGCAACUGACAUUGAGGCUCGAAAGUGUGGGUAUCAAACAGGAUUAGAUACC